rnacentral:rRNA from 1 species
GACAGAGGGGGCAAGCGUUGCUCGGAAUUACUGGGCGUAAAGGGCGCGUAGGCGGUUCGUUAAGUCUGUCGUGAAAUCCCCGGGCUCAACCUGGGAAUGGCGAUGGAUACUGGGCAGCUAGAGUGUGUCAGAGGAUGGUGGAAUUCCCGGUGUAGCGGUGAAAUGCGUAGAGAUCGGGAGGAACAUCAGUGGCGAAGGCGGCCAUCUGGGACAACACUGACGCUGAAGCACGAAAGCGUGGGGAGCAAACAGG